rnacentral:rRNA from 1 species
CCUACGGGAGGCUGCAGUCGAGAAUCAUUCACAAUGGGGGAAACCCUGAUGGUGCGACGCCGCGUGGGGGAAUGAAGGUCUUCGGAUUGUAAACCCCUGUCAUGUGGGAGCAAAUUAAAAAGAUAGUACCACAAGAGGAAGAGACGGCUAACUCUGUGCCAGCAGCCGCGGUAAUACAGAAGUCUCAAGCGUUGUUCGGAAUCACUGGGCGUAAGGCGUGCGUAGGCUGUUUCGUAAGUCGUGUGUGAAAGGCGCGGGCUCAACCCCGGGACGGCACAUGAUACUGCGAGACUAGAGUAAUGGAGGGGGAACCGGAAUUCUCGGUGGAGCAGUGAAAUGCGUAGAUAUCGAGAGGAACACUCGUGGCGAAGGCGGGUUCCUGGACAUUAACUGACGCUGAGGCACGAAGGCCAGGGGAGCGAAAGGGAUUAGAUACCCUUGUAGUC